rnacentral:rRNA from 1 species
GAAAAGCUAUUGUUGCAAAGCUACCAUCUGUUGGAUUACGACUGAACGCCUCUAAGUCGGAAUCCAUGCUGGCUAAGCAGUGUUGUCCACCACUUCCAUGGUUACAUGACAAGCAUUAGGUCUCGGCCCUGUUGCAUAUGAGCCAUAUCUACCGUUAAAGGUUGUGUGGUAAAUCUCAAUUUCAAUCUGUGGAAAUGAUAAACCUUUUGCAGACGACUUAACUGAAUCCAGGUAUUGUAAGU